AGUGUAGCGCAGCCUGGUAGCGCACCUGAUUUGGGAUCAGGGGGUCGCAGGUUCGAAUCCUGCCACU
rnacentral:tRNA from 1 species